rnacentral:rRNA from 1 species
CGAUGAAGAACGCAGCGAAAUGCGAUACGUAGUGUGAAUUGCAGAAUUCCGCGAAUCAUCGAGUCUUUGAACGCAAGUUGCGCCCGAGGCUUGUCCAAGGGCAUUUCCGCUAGAGCGUC